AGACACUGUGUACUCAGGCUCCUCCCUCACUGAGGUGGAAUCACUAACAGACACUGUGUACUCAGGCUCCUCCCUCACUGAGGUGGAAUCACUAACAGACACUGUGUACUCAGGCUCCUCCCUCACCGAGGUGGAAUCACUAACAGUCACUGUGUACUCAGGCUCCUCCCUCACUGAGGUGGAAUCACUAACAGACACUGUGUACUCAGGCUCCUCCCUCACCGAGGUGGAAUCACUAACAGACACUGUGUACUCAGGCUCCUCCCUCACUGAGGUGGAAUCACUAACAGACACUGUGUACUCAGGCUCCUCCCUCACUGAGGUGGAAUCACUAACAGACACUGUGUACUCAGGCUCCUCCAUCACUGAGCAGGUAGGCGUGAGGAUCUCGUGUGUAUUGUGAUGGGAUUUUAUAUUGUGAUAAGAUGUUUUCUGGGUGUUUUUCUGGUUGUAUAGAGCUCCCCUCUAUUGGGUCACUGUCAGGGGAAACGUACAGUAUUUCGGUUGGCAAAAUGUUCCUUUUCUCCUUUCUUCUUCGCUGGCAAAACCAAAUAAAAGGGGACGCAGUGUUAUUGAGGCCCUGUUUUUUUUCUAUAAUCUACUAUAGGCCUAUAAAUUAAAACGAUAGAGAGCAAUAUUAAUGGCGUCUUUUUGAGGGCGCUAAAGGAGGCUAACUCCACCUUGUUUGACAAAUUAAUGUUUUUUUUUGUUGUUGUUGGUUGUUUGUUGGUUUGGGAUAUUAAAUGGUCAAAAUAAGGCAUGUGGUAAACACAGACUUAGGCGAUUUUAUACAUUUAGUUCUAUGAGAUCAUCUUCGUCAGCUAACAUCACUUUUUUUGUGAAUUUUGAAGCAUUUAUGUACUCAAAACAAGUGAAAAGCUACCGAUGUGCUAACAUGUAAAAAAUAAAUAAAUGAAACUACACGUCAGGUUGCCUUUGACGUCUCCAACGAAGCUCGAGAACUCCUAACACUUGGCUGUUGUAGUUCCAUUUCUGACAGCUAGCGACUCUUUAGCAACGGACUCAUUUUGAUUCAUAGAGGUCAUGUUAACUGACUGAUUCUGGUGUUAACCUCAAACCUUAUUGCCCCGUUUAUUUCACCCAUAGGAAUGUCUGCACGAUCCAGAUGUAGAAACUAACAACUCAUUAAAUUAUUUUUUUAUGGCUUCGAGCUAGCGAGUUCUGUAAGUGAUAUUAUUUUCACGUGACUUCAGACGUCACGUGACUUCAGACGUCACGUGACUUCAGACGUCACGUGACUUCAGACGUCACGUGACUUCAGACGUCACGUGACUUCAGACGUCACAUGCUAAAGGUGCUGGUAUUUAUUCUCCUUUUCUGAUGUUUUUAUCUUCCU
ensembl:lncRNA